GUUUUCUGGCAUUUGUUGUGCGCGCAAAUUACGGUGUUCUCGCAAAUUGUGAUUGAUUUAGAUGAGAGGUGCUACGAUAUACACUAACAAACCAACUGAGCCUCGCAAGCGGGCGGCGUCUGACCAAACAACUCGUGUUGACGGCAUCUGAAGAAAUGUCGCUUCCCGCGGCAUGUCAACACGAGAACACGAGGAUCUGUUGUUCUUCCAUGAAAUUACCCACGGCAGCUGAUCCUGGCAUUCUUGCAGGACUCGAAGCUAGGAAGAGUCAGCGCUACCGUAAUCCUUGUUGCGCAUGUACCUACCGUAAUAUCCAGAGAGAUGCCCCGCCCCCAAAAGAUAACCGACUUCUAUUUUUGUCUUGGUUUGCUAUUUUUUCGUAAACACCAGAAGAUAGCCCACUCCUAGUAAUGAUCAACGGUGGUCUCUGAGUAAAUGUGGCCAGUUAGCUAUGGUGGGAUAUAAGCAAACUUUGCUGACUGGAAAGUAGUCAUCUUUGCUUCAUUUCCCUCGCCACGAUAAGAAGCUUGGCGGGGACACAUAACCUAAAAAUUGAAUUUUUUCAAUUUUUCUUGAUUGCACAUCGAAAGUUAGCCUACUCCUAAUUUUAACCCGAUUCGCUCUUGAUUUUAGGUGGGCUAUCUCUCAAGAUAUUAUUGUAGCUUUUUUUUUUUCUCUCUUAAUUUAGGUGUUUGCAGGCCACCUGUUAUGGGCCUUCGGCGUCUCUACUGUACUCCCCGCCCCCCCCGUCCCCAUAAAUAAAAAUAAAAUGAAAUUUAAAAAAAAAAAUAAAAAAAUAAUGAAGUUAUGAAAUUUAGUGUUUCUGGAGGACAAUUUUCAUCACAUUGGUGUGUUGUGUUAAAGAAAGGACGGGGUUUUAAGGGAUUGCAAAAGGUUGUUAACAAAGAGGGGCAUGAUAUUUCGGUCUAAGGUAACAAUUUUUAUUUUUUUUACGCUUUUUUUUGUGACAGUUUUUAGUAGUUUGUGGUUUGUGCUAUAAUUCUUUUGAGUUUAAAGAGGAUGCUAAAAGAAAUAGUCAGCUUUAACCAACCUUGGCUAAAGACAAAAUUGUCUCUCUUUUCUUGGUCUGUUUGAUUGAAUUUCUAUUGUUUAUAAGAAAAGUGUCCUGUCAUAAAGCUCUUGGUAUGAACUCGUGACUUUCCGUGGUGCUUGCACUUACUCCUCUGUCUGUGCAUUACCUGCCUGCAUUAUAAGCUGGAACUGAUGUCCUUUAUGCCUUCUGUCAGCUUUUUGAAGCAUCUUUAUUAUCUCAAAUUGAUCUCUAAUAUAAAGCCCUUGCAUAUGUCAUUCAACAUAUCUUAGGAGAUGUGCCUUUUAACGAAUCUAGCGUGUCAUGUGGCACAGCUCAAUCUUCCUAAAUGUAUAACCUCAUCAUUUUUGAAUAUUUUAAAUAUUUAGAACCUGUGGGCUAAAUUUGUCUGCAAAGCCUGUGAAAGUCCAGUAAAAAACAAGUGCCUCGAAGUCUGCUUAAAAAAAUAAAAAUGGGAAUUUGUUUUUUUUUGUAAAUGCAAAAGGUGUUUGCGUAUAUCUGCCUUGUUAAAGGGUCUCUUGUUAUGAGUGCUUUGUCUGAAAGGCUCUGUGCAGUGUUGGAGUUGUAAUUUAUGUCAAUAUGUUCCUUUUUAUAUCUGGUGCGAUUUGAAAUUCCUGUUUUCUGUAUCUGAAAUACUUGUAUCUGUUCUAGGUACAGAUAAGCAAACUUUUGCUUGAUUUUCGUGCACCUCAAACCUGACUACCUUGUGUAUACGAUUCUGCGUGGCGUUGCCCGAGUUUGGUUUUGUGCGUCUCUCGGCUCUUUCAACUUUAACCUCCUUAGACAGAGCCUUUACUCUGUCCGUCUUUUGACGUGUGCAAGCUCAAGUGUAGACCGAUUCUGGCAAUCUUUCUUUCUUGGCGUUUCACGAGGGUUGCAUUCCUUUCUGUAUGCAUUUUUUUAAUCAUUCUGCCAUUUAAAUUUCUGUCGCUUGUUUGGACAUUCAUGUGCAAGCGGACAGGGUCACUUUAACCACCCUCUCUAUUCUCCUAGGUCCACGGAGACCUGGAGCGAGGAGAGGUCCGGGAGGCAUCGCCCCACUCCUGAACUGGCUUCACGGAUUCGGACUCGAAGCGCCGAAGGCCACCCUGAAAAGAUCUCCCCUUUAGAUGGCCACUCUCGAGACUGGUCGCCCCUCCCCGAUGUCGGAAACAGCCUGGCAAGCCCGAGCGGUCGCGCUUCCAGUGCAGCUAUUGCGAGUACAAGAGCGAGUACAAGUGCUACGUGGUGGCACACGAACGCAUUCACACGGGGGAGCGUCCAUACAAGUGCCCGCUGUGUAGCAAGGCCUUCACCUUCAAGCACCACGUGACUACACACCUGCGCUGCCACACCGGAGAGAAACCCUUCCGCUGCAGCAUGUGCCCGCGCUCCUUUGCGCAGAAGAGCAACCUGAACCAGCACCUGCUCAUUCAUCGGAACAACGUGCGCUGAGGGCGGUGGGUGAGACGCUUGAAUUGGGACGUCAUUUGGAAAUCCGUUCUAAUCGGAACUCUUUGACGCUUCAGACUUCACUUUUUAAGGAGUUGUUUUGUGUACUGUGUACUUCUGUUACAAAAGGCUUACCACAAAGUAUCACUGUGGCGGAUACCUGCAGCAAAGGUCGAACGUUGUGCCGUCAACGACAGAAUUGUGUAGUUCUCAAAAUAUAAGUUUAAAGGGGCACUAAAAUUGGAUCUUGAGAUCCAGUUUUAGCUGGACUUAAACUGAAACGAAGUAUAGGAGAGAGCGUGAUGCCAGCCAUGUAGCUUCCACAAGCAAUCCUCUCUUGGAGGAGUGUCCCCUUCUAAUACUUCCGAUCUCCUCACUUGCGCUGACCGUGCAAGAAGUAGCGAAAGUUUGAAAUGCUGCGGGAAAGCUAUCCCCCAGUACAAAUAAAGUGAUGCAUUCCACAU